AUGGGCGCAAGCCUGAUCCAGCAAUGCCGCGUGUGUGAAGAAGGCCUUCGGGUUGUAAAGCACUUUUAUCAGGAGCGAAAUACUACCGGCCAAUACCCGGUGGGGCUGACGGUACCUGACGAAUAAGCACCGGCUAACUUCGUGCCAGCAGCCGCGGUAAUGAAU
rnacentral:rRNA from 1 species